rnacentral:rRNA from 1 species
UACGUAGGGUGCAAGCGUUAAUCGGAAUUACUGGGCGUAAAGCGUGCGUAGGCGGUUUGUUAAGUCUGUCGUGAAAACCCCGGGCUCAACCUGGGAAUGGCGAUGGAUACUGGCGAGCUAGAGUACGGUAGAGGAGAGUGGAAUUCCCGGUGUAGCAGUGAAAUGCGUAGAGAUCGGGAGGAACAUCAGUUGCGAAGGCGGCUCUCUGGACCAGUACUGACGCUGAGGCACGAAAGCGUGGGGAGCAAACAGG